rfam:Stegodyphus mimosarum contig82004, whole genome shotgun sequence.
GCCUUCGUGAUGUAGUGGUCAGCACGCUAGACACAAAUUCGAGAGGUCCGUGGUUCGAGUCCUGGCGAGGGCA